rnacentral:rRNA from 1 species
GACGAACGCUGGCGGCGUGCUUAACACAUGCAAGUCGAACGGAAAGGCCCUGCUUUUGUGGGGUGCUCGAGUGGCGAACGGGUGAGUAACACGUGAGUAACCUGCCCUUGACUUUGGGAUAACUUCAGGAAACUGGGGCUAAUACCGGAUAGGAGCUCCUGCUGCAUGGUGGGGGUUGGAAAGUUUCGGCGGUUGGGGAUGGACUCGCGGCUUAUCAGCUUGUUGGUGGGGUAGUGGCUUACCAAGGCUUUGACGGGUAGCCGGCCUGAGAGGGUGACCGGCCACAUUGGGACUGAGAGACGGCCCAGACUCCUACGGGAGGCAGCAGUGGGGAAUAUUGCACAAUGGGCGGAGGCCUGAUGCAGCAACGCCGCGUGCGGGAUGACGGCCUUCGGGUUGUAAACCGCUUUCGCCUGUGACGAAGCGUGAGGGACGGUAAUGGGUAAAGAAGCACCGGCUAACUACGU